GUUGUGCGUGUGCUUCAAUUAAUGUUUCCUAAAUUUCUUUUUUAAAGCAAACAGAAAUAUGUGUAAAAUUAUUUGAUAAAGUGCGAGAGAGAGAAACAAAUUAACUAAUGUCAAUUGAUUGUAACAGGAUUACUAUUUCAUUCCCCGAAAAGGAAAAAAAAACCCUGGUGGUAAAUUAUAUAAUAGAUUUGGAAAUUCGCGAUCAAAGCGUUCAAGGCCCUCCGUUGAAGAAAACGGGAAACUCAUAGAUUAUUCAUCAUCGCAAACAGACGAAGUUGAUGAUUCCAUAUCGUUAGCUUUAAAAACAGCCUUAAGUCGUGAUAGCUCUGACUGGACUACCGUUUGUGAUAAAUGGAAAAAAACGUAUUCACUUCGUCAACAAGAGCUUUCCACUACAUCUAAUCACUCUUCUUUUUUAAAAUCUUGGCCAAAAUAUGGAGAUGCUAGAGCAACACAACUGAUUAAAAUUGAUUUUGAAAUAAUGUACCCUGGAAAACAACACCUGUUACUCAGCAAGUGGGAACAUUUCAAAAUAAUUAUUAAAAGAUAUUACGAAGCUAACAUCCACAACCCAAAUUGCAAGAAGCAGUUGCGUUCACUUAAUUCUAAUUUAAGC